rnacentral:rRNA from 1 species
GACGAACCGUGCGAACGUUAUUCGGAAUCAUUGGGCUUAAAGGGCGCGUAGGCGGCGAUAUAAGUUGGAAGUGAAAUCCCAUCGGCUCAACCGUGGAAUAGCUCCCAGUACUGUAUCGCUCGAGGGGGAUAGGGGUCUGCGGAACUACCGGUGGAGCGGUGAAAUGUGUUGAUAUCGGUGGGAACGCCAGUGGCGAAAGCGGCAGACUUGACCCUUCCUGACGCUGAUGCGCGAAAGCCAGGGGAGCGAACGGG